CGAGGUAUAGCUAAACAACGAAUAGCGUCUCCCCUACGCUGAGAAGGCAUCCGUGCAAACCGGGUUACCUCGAC
rnacentral:tRNA from 1 species